rnacentral:rRNA from 1 species
CAGCAGCCACGGGAAUACGUAGGGUGCGAGCGUUAAUCGGAAUUACUGGGCGUAAAGCGUGCGCAGGCGGUUCGUCAAGACAGAUGUGAAAUCCUCGGGCUUAACCUGGGAACUGCAUUUGUGACUGGCGAGCUAGAGUAUGGCAGAGGGGGGUAGAAUUCCACGUGUAGCAGUGAAAUGCGUAGAGAUGUGGAGGAAUACCGAUGGCGAAGGCAGCCCCCUGGGCCAAUACUGACGCUCAUGCACGAAAGCGUGGGGAGCAAACAGGAUUAGAUACCCGUGUAGUCCCUGUCUCUUAUAC